rnacentral:rRNA from 1 species
UGAAAAUGUAAAAUUAAAAAGUUAAAUUAUUAAUAGUUAUGUUCUUUAAAUUUAAAAAAUUUGGCGGUAUUUUAGUCUAUUCAGAGGAACCUGUUCUGUAAUUGAUAACCCACGAUUAGAAAUACUUAUUUUAUUAGUUUGUAUAUCGUUGUUUAAAUAAUUUUAUAAGAAUAAGAAUUAUUAAAAAAUUUAAUUUAAUUAAUAAUCAAAUCAAGGUGCAGUUUAUAGGUAAGAAGAAAUGGGUUACAAUAAAAAUUAUUUAAAUGGAUUUUAUUAUUAAAUUAAUAAAUGAAGGUGGAUUUGAUAGUAAAUAUAUUAUAUAUUUAUAUAUGGAUUAUAGCUCUAAAAUAUGU